UCCCGCGUAGCUCAGUUGGUAGAGCGAGUGGCUGUUAACCACCAGGUCGUAGGUUCGAGUCCUACCGCGGGAGCCA
rnacentral:tRNA from 1 species